rnacentral:rRNA from 1 species
UACGUGCCAGCAGCCGCGGUAAUACGUAGGCAGUAAGCGUUGUUCGGAGUUACUGGGCGUAAAGGGUGUGUAGGCGGCCUGUUAAGUUCCGUGUGAAAUCUCCCGGCUCAACCGGGAGGGUGCGCGGAAAACUGGCGGGCUAGAGUGCGGGAUGGGAGAGUAGAAUUCCUGGUGUAGCGGUGAAAUGCGUAGAUAUCAGGAGGAAUACCGGUGGUGUAGACGGCUCUCUGGACCGCAACUGACGCUGAAACACGAAAGCGUGGGUAGCAAACAGGAUUAGAUACCCCGGUAGUCCACGCCCUAAACGAUGCAUAUUUGGUGUAGGUCAUUCAGUUGAUCUGUGCCGGAGCUAACGCGUUAAAUAUGCCGCCUGGGGAGUACAGUCGCAAGGCUGAAACUCAAAGGAAUUGACGGGGGCCCGCACAAGCGGUGGAGCAUGUGGUUCAAUUCGACGCAACGCGAAGAACCUUACCUGGGCUCGAACGGCUGGUCAACGAUCGUGGAAACACGGUUACUCCGCAAGGGGGUCCAGUCGAGGUGCUGCAUGGCUGUCGUCAGCUCGUGUCGUGAGAUGUUGGGUUAAGUCCCGCAACGAGCGCAACCCUCGUCCUGUGUUGCCAUCAUUCAGUUGGGAACUCGCAGGAGACCGCCAGCGAUAAGCUGGAGGAAGGUGGGGAUGACGUCAAGUCCUCAUGGCCUUUAUGUCCAGGGCUACACACGUGCUACAAUGGCCGGUACAAUGCGCUGCUAAGUCGCAAGACGGAGCCAAUCGCAAAAAACCGGUCUCAGUUCGGAUUGCAGGCUGCAACUCGCCUGCAUGAAGCUGGAAUCGCUAGUAAUGGCAUAUCAGAACGAUGCCGUGAAUACGUUCCCGGGCCUUGUACACACCGCCCGUA